rnacentral:misc_RNA from 1 species
UAAGUUAGAUAAGGUAGAGCAUUGUAUAAUCUUAGAAACAUUUACUAUACAAAAGCAAACAUUUAGGAAGAGUCAGAAAUUGUGAUCCUGGAUAUUAUCCCAUAGAUGUUCAGCAAGCUUUGGAAAGAACUAUAGAGUUUUAUGAAGGCUGCUAUUGGCUAGAGAGUUUAAUGACUAUACUGCAUUUAGUAACCAUGGUAAUGCUCAUGUUUUUCUUUGAGAAUUUGAAAUAGCUGUACAAUAUUACUAGUAAGAAAAUUUCAAGCAUAAUUUUUUUUCAGAGAUUCCAGCUCUCAGGAUUGUUUAUUUAUUCUAGCCUCCAGCAACUAAAUCUGAAGUGUUUUUCAGGAUCUGCUGCAUAUGUUAUUGAAACACUAUUUGACAUUGAAGUAUGUAAGAAUCAGCUAAUCGAGUGGAUGAUUUCAGCUAAUGCAGAUGUUAUCAGCAUAUUUCUUGUAAAUGUGAAUGGACUAUUAAGAUGAAACAAUGAGGAAACCUUACUUAAUGUUUCAACAGUUAUAAACUUAUUGGCUGCUUCAUUUGAAGGUCGACUGUGGUUGUUGAAGCAGUAUGAAUUUGAUGACACUAUUCAACUUUUAUGUGAUAUGCUUCAGUCAUCUUGUAUGUCUUUAACACAUAAUGCAUCUCUUGUCAUAGCAAGUGCCCAGUGCUCCUACAAAAUUUUGUGUUCUUUUUUCCACCACAUCGAAAUUGAAACUUAGCUCGGAUGAACCUUUGGAAAAAAAUGGUGUAAUUAUAGGGUAUGAACUCUCUGUUGAAGGAAAACCAAUAAGUAUAUUUUAAAAGACGAAAAGUUAUAUAAUGACACAUCUACAAUCUUCAACUCAGUACAAUUUUGAGAUAUGCGCUCUAACUAGUGAAGGAAACGGAUUAGCAGCUUAUUUGAUAGGAACAACAAAUACUCUUGAUUAUUUUGCACCCUCACCUCCUCGAUUACAUGUUCAUGGUAAAACAGAGAUUUUUAUUGAGUGGGAUCCUCCUAAAAAUCUUCUUGGCAGAUAAAAUUAUUAUGAACUUAGAAUGGAUAACAUGAAUAAUCCAAGACAUGGCUGCAUAUAGACAAAAGAAACAUUGUCAUUUUAAACAACAAAAAGAAAUAAAUACUUUCUAUCCAGAGGAAAAUUUAUCUGAAUAUUUAGACACUGCGAUUGAUCCAUCUAUUGAAAUUGAUACUUUGAGUAAUUUAGUAACAUAUCAAUCUGAAGAUACUCAAAUUGAUGUUUCUGAAUUUUCUGAAUUUGAUUCAUCUUCCGAUUCAUCUAUUGAUUCAGAAUAUUAUUCUCAUACAUUUCCAGCUGAUAGUUUUUCAGAUAAUGAACCUUUUCAUCAGCAAUCAACUGAUUUAAUAGAAACCAAUUGCCGUGAAAAAUUACAGAAAUGGACUGUAGACCAUCGAAGCCAUUUGACUGUUGAAACAGUAGAAGAUUUGAUAAAAAUACUGAGGGUAGAAAAUAUUCCUAAUUUACCUAAAUCUGCAGUUACAUUGAUGCAUACAAAGUCAAAUAAAAAUAUAAAAUUAAUGAAUAGCGCAAAAAACACAAUUGGAUAUUUUAUGUUUCUUGGUAUAGAACAAGGCUUAAAUGAUGUUAUUACUGAGGAUUAUACUGAUAAUGUUAUUCGUUUAUUAUUUAAUAUCGAUGGUUUGCCAUUUUUCAAUGGUUCUAAUCAAUAAUUUUGGGCUAUCUUGGGACUUAUUUUGCACAAUGAAUAUAAUUCACAACCAUUUAUAAUAGCUGUUUGUAGUGGGGAUUCUAAACCACAAAGUAUAGAUGUUUUUUUAAAAGAUUUUGUCUCUGAAGCAAAAAAUUUAGUUUUAAAUGGAGUAACUAUUGGUCAAGUGACCUUUAAAGUAGAUGUAGGUUUUUCUUGUGACACACCUGCCAGAUCAUUUAUUUAAAAAAUGUAAAGGACAUGGUGGUUAUUAUGCAUGUGAACAUUGUGAGACCAGUGGGACGGCAAUAAAUAAAAAAAGAGUUGAAAAUAUUAGUGAAUUUUAUACCCAAAGAGUUUCAAAGAAAAAGAUUACGUAAUACACUUACCUUCAUGAUUCAUGAAAAAAAGAUUUAAAAUACAUUUGUUGACUUUAUAAUCCCAUCAAUUAUUAUUGUAGAAUUAUCAAUUAUUAUUGUAGAAUACUAGAAUGUUCAAUGUAACAUACAAUAGAAGUUUGUUAUUUGAAUAUCUAUAUUACGAGUAGCGUUAUAAAUA